GGCUACACACGUGCUACAAUGGGUAGAACAGAGAGUUGCAAAGCCGUGAGGUGGAGCUAAUCUCAGAAAACUAUUCUUAGUUCGGAUUGUACUCUGCAACUCGAGUACAUGAAGUUGGAAUCGCUAGUAAUCGCGAAUCAGCAAUGUCGCGGUGAAUACGUUCUCGGGUCUUGUACACGCCGCCCGUCACACCACGAGAGUUGGUUGCACCUGAAGUAGCAGGCCUAACCGUAAGGAGGGAUGCUCCGAGGGUGUGAUUAGCGAUUGGGGUGAAGUCGUAACAAGGUAUCCGUACGGGAACGU
rnacentral:rRNA from 1 species